GCCCCCCGGGCCUCCGCCUCCCGCCGCUCCCGCCCCGGCUCCCGCCCUGGCUCUCGGCCUUGGCCGCGGGGCUGGCGCUGAGCCUCACCAAGUUCGCGGUGGGCAUCGCGCUGGUCCUCGCCGUGCGCCGGCUGGUCCAGGCGCUGUCGCUGCAGGUGCUGUGCUCGUGGUUCCGGGUGGUCCCGCGGGACAGGGAGGCCCGGCGGAGGCUGGAGAUCGAGGUGCCUUACAAGUUCGUCACCUACGUGUCCGUGGGCAUCUGCGCCACCACCUUCGUGCCCAUGCUGCACAGGUUUCUGGGGUUGCCCUGACCCUCACCCCCACCUGGAGGCCGGCCCGCCGGACAGGGGAGCACACCGGGCACAGGGCUCCUCCAAGUGUCCUGUGCUCUCCCACUUCUGGGGACUGGGACCAGCCCAGGACCCACCGUCGGGGGUUUCAUGCUCCCGUGCAAACCCUGCGAGGGCAGAUCCACAGACCCGAUGAACUGGAUCCCUCCUGCGGCCCGAUGGGGGAACAGGCCUCCCGGACAUCACCCUCCAUUCCUCAGUUCUUUCCUGCACAGGAUCAGGGGCUCCCUUUCCAUCCCCCUCACCCUCAUCUCUGGGCAAUCUUGAGGGUAAUGAAUGCAAGAACGGCGCCCAGGUGUCCAGCUGACCUAACAACCCAGGCCUCAAGCCUGGGGGAGCCCUCCUGGGGCCCAGGAAGGCCACCUGACCUGCGAACAUCCCCACGUUCCCUCUGCCGGCGCCUCUUCAGUCCUUAACCCUAAGGAGCAAGCCUCCAGAACUUUCUGAACCGUGAGCAGAAGCGCAGAUGUCAGGAGGCCUGUGGUCUCCUCGCUCAGACUUCAUUCCCGCCUGGGACAACAGGCUCCUGCUUCUGCCUCCGGGGUGAAAACUGAAAACCCCACUUGUUCUGAUUUCAAAUAUGUUCCCCGACCUUUGUGCUGGGAUGAUGCACGGCUUCGUGCCCCCGUCAACAGAGAACAACUUCUAGAAAGAUGUUCUGCUUCUCCCUCAAAUCCUUCCCCCGGCUGUGGGCUGUCGUGGUUAAGGAGGCAGGGAUCCGAUGACCUGCCGUCUGAGGUGCUAGUGCACCACGAGGGAGGGGAGGGAGGGCCGGAGGAGCCCAACCUAGAGGCGCCCCUGCCCUGGGCCGCCCCCCAGCCCUCCCAACCCCCCAUUCCCCCACAACCCCCAUCCCCCCACCUCCCUCACCCCCCACCCCACCCCCACCCCAGCGGCGGGUGAGGCCCCUCCCCGGCAGCCCUGAUGAUAUUCCCACAAGAAUGACCUCUGUUGAUUUUUCUGAGGCCAAUGGGUGAAAGGAUGGGGUCUUCCCACCUCAAUCUUUUGAGAGGAGGGGCUGUAACUGUCACAGCAGCGGGCGUUGGCGGUUCCUGCAAGCGUGUGUGUGAUUUUUAAUGCUGUCCUUUAAGUCCCCACGACGGGACAGCCAUCGGCCGUAGUAUCGUCUUUAUGUGAAUGUACUUAAGGCUGCAUUUACACGAACUCGCAGGGUUGGACUGAGGACAUUGGCCUUAGCCGUGGAUCAUGCUGUCGUGGUUGGUCGCUUUUUAAAGAAGUGUGUUGUUUUGCACCUGGAGAAAGAGGUAUCCGUCCAUGAGGACGAUUUUAGUCUCUGCGGCCUGGAGUGAGGCGGCUGGCCUCUGCUGGCCGGCCCUGCACGCACCUCCCACGCCCCAGGCCCCACCCCAGGCCUGUCCCUUCCACACGGAGACCUAGGCCACCCGCCCCUCCGCU
rnacentral:lncRNA from 12 species